AUACGGAGGGGGUUAGCGUUGUUCGGAAUUACUGGGCGUAAAGCGCACGUAGGCGGACUGGAAAGUUGGGGGUGAAAUCCUGGGGCUCAACCCCGGAACUGCCUCCAAAACUUCCAAUCUAGAGAUCGAGAGAGGUGAGUGGAAUUCCAAGUGUAGAGGUGAAAUUCGUAGAUAUUUGGAGGAACACCAGUGGCGAAGGCGGCUCACUGGCUCGAUACUGACGCUGAGGUGCGAAAGCGUGGGGAGCAAACAGGAUUAGAAACCCUAGUAGUCC
rnacentral:rRNA from 1 species